rnacentral:sRNA from 1 species
GCCAGGCUUGGUGGCUCAUGCCUGUCAUCCCAGCAGCUCUGGGAGGCUGAGACAGGAGGAUCAUGAGUUCAAAGCCAGCCUCAGCAAUGGCGAGAUGCUAAGCAACUCAGUGAGACCCUGUCUCUA